rnacentral:rRNA from 1 species
CACGUAGGGUGCGAGCGUUGUCCGGAAUUAUUGGGCGUAAAGCGCGUGUAGGCGGCUUUGCAAGUCGGAUGUGAAAUCCCCAGGCUUAACCUGGGAACUGCAUCCGAUACUGGAUGGCUUGAAUUCGGGAGAGGGAUGCAGAAUUCCAGGUGUAGCGGUGAAAUGCGUAGAUAUCUGGAGGAAUACCCGUGGCGAAGGCGACUUCCUGGCCUGUUCUUGACGCUGAGGCGCGAAAGCUAGGGGAGCAAACGGG